GAUGAGAUUUCCAUGACCUUCGAGGUCGAGAGGCUCCCAGUAGACGACUGGGUUGAUAGGCUGGAUGUGGAAGCGAGGACUAAAGACUCGUGGAGCUGACCAGUACUAAUAAGCCGAUGACUUGAUUACA
rnacentral:rRNA from 1 species